rnacentral:rRNA from 1 species
UGGGGAAUAUUGCACAAUGGAGGAAACUCUGAUGCAGCGACGCCGCGUGAGUGAAGAAGGUCUUCGGAUCGUAAAACUCUGUCCUUGGUGACGAAAAAAAUGACGGUAGCCAAGGAGGAAGCCCCGGCUAACUACGUGCCAGCAGCCGCGGUAAUACGUAGAGGGCAAGCGUUGUCCGGAUUUACUGGGUGUAAAGGGUGCUCAGGCGGAUUUGUAAGUCAGAGGUGAAAUCUUACAGCUUAACUGUGAAACUGCCUUUGAUACUGCAAGCCUAGAGUAUGGAAGAGAGUGAUGGAAUAUCUGGUGUAGCAGUGAAAUGCGUAGAUAUCAGAUAGAACACCAAUGGCGAAGGCAGUCACUUGGUCCAUUACUGACGCUAAAGCACGAAAGCGUGGGUAGCAAACA